rnacentral:misc_RNA from 1 species
UUUCCGUAGGUGAACCUGCGGAAGGAUCAUUGAAUCGAUCGAACCAACCCGGUGACCCUGGUGCGCCCGAACCUCAGACGGGGGAACUUGUUCUCCCUCUGUGGGGGCCGGCUCGUUGGGGCGCAAACACCCCUCGGCGUCUUCGGGUGCUGGGGGGGGCUCCAUCUGAGUCGGGCUUCGGGUCCCUCUCCCCCACCCCCUUUUUUUUUCCCUUCGGGGAAGGACCAGGGCUGGCGGGGGGGCUCAAGGGGGGCUUCGCGGUGGCCUCCUCCGAACCAAAAACCCGCCCUGAAGCAGUGCAGCACUUGCGGGUGCUGCAAACCAACAAAAUAGACAACUCUCAACAACGGAUAUCUUGGCUCCC